UAGAUUCCGACGCUGUAAGGGGUAGUGUGCCAUGAUAGAACGGUAUUGGAAAAUGGAGAAGGUGGAAACUGGAAAAAUGGACAGUGACUUUUUUUUUUCUCCUGCGGUUUGGUUUUGUUUUGUUUGUCGGAGAAAAGAUAAUCAGAUACAGAUAGUGAGAUAGAUAGAUGGGAUUUGUAAUGUAGAGUUGUGUUGUAUUGUUAUAUGUAUUGUAGUAGUUCGAGGGAAAGUAAUAACUUGUGUUUGAGUAGAAGAUUGUAAAUAAAUUAUUAUUUUUGUCUUUAAUUUUAAUUUAUUUUUAUUUGUUGGAUUUACUUGUAUGCAGGAUUGCAUUUUCAAUUUAAAUUCAAAUCCACGCUUAAACCGAAGAUAACAAAGGUGGAGGUGGUGGUCAACUUAUGUCUUCAUUACAACUUAUACUGUGCACUAGAUGGGGACUUGUGUGGUGAGAUAAAACAAUAGUGGUAAUGAAUUCACUAAAAUCUGAGUCAUAUUUUUCAACAUAGUUUCUUGUAAAGAAAAAUUAUUUGACAAACUCCAUAAAUCUUUUAUAUCAUAUGAUUAAAAAAAAUGAUGUUUAAUUCCCUCACGCACCAUGGGGACAGUGGGACCGGGGAUGGGGAGUUGUUGACCGUUGACCGGAUACUCUUACGUUACGUAUGAGAAUGGGUAUUGGGCACAGGUUUGUAAUAGUAGGGUAGGGUAGGUAAGGGCCAUGGGUACAGAAUAGAUUAUUAUUGGGAUUACUGUUGAUUGGUAUUUUGAAGUUUUUCAGAAAAUGGUUUUAUUGCUGUUGUUGCAUUGUUAAAUAUGAUGUUUAAAAUUUUGUAGGGUUGUGUAAAGGAAGGCUAAGGCUUGUGUAUUCAAAUGUUUCAUUGUAAUCGUGUUUCUAGAUUCCUAGUCAUAUCAUAGCACACAUGUGGGCGAUGAUGGAGUCGUAAUUGUUGUUCGGUCUUUGUUAGUUAAAGGCCAAUGGGGAAGGAAAAUGCUGCCAUGAUGGACGCUUUACAUGUCAUUAAUUGGAAGGACAAUUUGCUUUCCCCUUUUAAUCUAACAACGUUCAUGUACACAUUAAUUACUAAAAUUUAUUAUUCUUUGAACAUUUAUAUCAUUGGCUCAUCUAAAAUUUAAAAGCAAAGAGUUAUUUAAAAUGCUAUCUAAGCUUAAAGUACUUUCCAAGCUUAAUUUAUUUUAAAUUAACAAUAAAUAAAUUGAUAAUUUUUUAUUUUACAAGAGUUGAAUUUUAUUAGAAGUAUUUUAAUUGAAAGAUUGAAAAGUUAACUUACUGAGUUAUACUGUUCAGUAAUGUGCAAUGCUAUAAGAAUAUAUAUAUAUAUAUAUAUAUAUAUAUAUAUAUAUAUAUAUAUAUAUAUAUAUAUAUAUAUAUGAUUCUCUAUACAUUUUUUUAAUUUGUGAAUAAAAUAUCUUUAUUAAAAAAAUUUAUAAAUAUUGUAAUAUUAAAUAAAAAAUGUUGAAAUAAUAGUAUAAUGUUUAUUGGGAAAAUAUAUAAAAUUUUAUUAUUAGUAAUAAGUUCAAAUGAAAUUUUAAAUAUAACAAGAACAAAAAUCUUAUCUUAUCUUUUUUUUUUUUUUAUAAAAAAAGAACAAAAGUCUUAUGGUAGUAGGUGACGUUAAUAACUAUAUUAAUCAUACAAUGCUAUUAGACUCGCUUAAAGAUUAAAAUUUAAAGAUAUUAUUUAUCAUAAAAAUUAUUUCUUUCAAAUAAUAAUUUUAAAUUUUUUAAAAUGUAUUAAAAUAUAUAAAUAAGUUAGUCAAACAUAUCAUCAAUCACGAUGACAUCAAUAUUUUUUUUUGUCUAAUUUUGGUUGACAGGCUAAACACAGAUUAAAAUUGCUUAAUUUUUAAAACGUUGUAAACAAAAAGGUUUAAUUCACAUUGAUGUGAUGAUUAACAUCGAGUGCUUUGAAAAUAAAAGAUGUUAUAAAAUAAUAUUGAAAUAACGUUUACUGUUCAGUAUAGUGUGGACAAAUAGAGCAGAACCUUUUAUACUAAUUCAAUUCCCCAUCACAUUUCUCCUUUUCAAAUUUCUCAAACUACAUCUAUGAAUGUUCUGACAAUGGAAGAACGGAAAUGCAUAACAAUUUAUUCUUUAAGUUGAAAUUUUAGUUCGAUAUCAAAUAAUAAGAGAGAAGCAUCAUGGAAGAUCUUUAUGAUUGUAUCCUUGACAUUAGCAAAGGACUUGUUUCUUUGAGUUAAAACUCUUAAUAAAUGCAUAACGUACACUCAUCAUAUUUCACGUCUUAAAUUAAUUGCUUUAAAUUUUGAAUUAUUAAUAGGAUACUAGUAGUAUACUCAUAAAGGAUCAGAAUUCGUUCAAUUAUAUCAGGAAAAAAUAGUUCAAAAGUAUAGAUGUAAUAUUUUCGUAAAUACACUAGCCCGUGAUCAUAUAAAGUAAUAAACCUGAAUCAGUGACAUUUGGUAAGAAACUAAAAAAGAAGACAAACCAUAUUUGACUUUUCCUUCGCUCGAUCUUGAUGAUAGAAGAUUUCAGCAGUCAUAUAAUAUCAAACAUUGUAUUGCACGUUGAAAUUUAGAGACUGAUGGACACUUUAGUAUCAAAUACAUUUUUUUAGCUUCAUAAGUCAAUAUGUUAUUAUUAAGUGAUUCUUAUGGAUUGGUCGAAGUGAAUAACCUAACUUAGGCUAAAAUUUAUUACAGUCCCGCUAUUAUUUCCUGUUGUCACGUCCCAUUACAUCUUGGAAACUCAAUACCCCAAGUUAAGAUGAACUAGAGCCCAACUUUAAACACGUGUUUAGAAAAUUUUUGGUCCCAUUUCAUUUCUUCUGCAAAAUAAUGGAAUUGCUAUUCUUACUCAUAAAUUUGAGAUUCACACUUCUCACGUGGCUUUAGAUUUUGUUUUGAGAAUAUACUAUUUUCACUUAAAUAAAAUUUCAGUGAGAAAUACAAAAAAGGAAAUAUGUUUUCGUUAGAUAAGAAAUAAUAAAAACUCACUACCGAUAAAUACAAUAUGUCUUUUGUUAAGAAUAAAAAAUAUUUAAUAUCCUUUUUGGGAUAAAUUUAACGUCUCAAAUUAAAAAGAAGUGUGGAAAUUUGUAUCCCAAGACAGAAUAGGAAUUAAAUCAAACUUCUUAAAACCAAAUUAAAUAGUAAUAACAUGGUAUAAUGGUGGUAUCGCACGGUUUCAAGCUGGAUGGAAUUGGAAAGUGGAAAGUUAUGUACCGAAAAAAAGCUGAAUGGAAAGUGACCUGAAAAUGUUGCAGGAAAAUAGUGCACUUGAGAUUCAUCAACAUCAACAUCACCACGCCAACGAGCCCUUCUUGCUUAGCUAAUCCAUCAACGACUACGCCACGUUUAAUGCUACCAUCAAUUUCAAAUUUUCAAAUUCAUCAUCACAUACAUCACUCCCCAUUGCAACAAAAUGCCAUCAACAACAAACACGACGUCGUCACGGUCACCACCGCCAACCUGAAACCAAUUUCUGAAGCCAAAACUAGAGAUGAAAAGAGGGAACAAUUUGGUCGCAUUGAGCAGACAACGAUCCAUUCAGAUUCUCAUCGCCAUUGCGUUCUUGUACGUCCUCUUCUUCACCCUCGAAAUCCCCCUCGUCUUCAGAAUCGCCCAAAAACAACGACCCACUCACACCCGCCGUCAACUCGUUCGCCGCCAAAACGGCGUCGUCUCCGCCUUGAUCCUAAACGACGCCGCGUUCGAUUCGGAGCUCUACCAAUCCUCCUGCCGCGCCGGAAAAGCCAUCUGGGAAGAACUAAAACUAAAAUCACGGAGCCCGCGAGGCCUCAUUUCUAAGCCCGAGAACCGAUCUGGGCCGUGCCCGGGAUCCGUCUCCGUGUCCGGGCCCGAGUUUCUGGGCCGCGGGAGUUUGAUGAUGAUUCCGUGUGGGCUUACGUUGGGUUCCCACGUAACGGUGGUUGGGAAGCCGUCAAGGGUGCAACGGAAGACGUGUCAGUUCGUGAUGGAGUUGCUGGGGCUGAAGACGGUGGAGGGUGAGGAACCGCCCAGGGUGCUACAUUUCAACCCUAGGUUGAAAGGGGAUUGGAGUUGGAAGCCCGUGAUUGAACUCAACACGUGUUACCGCAUGCAUUGGGGUACUGCCUUGCGAUGUGAUGGUUGGAAAUCCAGAGCUGGUGAAGAUACUGGUAAGAAAAAUUAUGUUUAUAUUCACUAUGGUUGUGAUGUAUGAAGCAAAUUCGAUACCGAUACCUUUUGGAUACUUCAGCUAUUUGUGAAGUAUCCAAGCCUUAAAAAAGUUAUGGAAAUCCAAUACGAAUAUAAUAUAGAACCAUAGAAGCACUAAAGAUGGAAAUUGUUGAUUACAAGAAAGGAGUGAGAUUGAUACUACUCCUACUUAUAGACAAUAGGAACUGAUUUAUAAUCACAAUAAUAGUAGAUAUAAGGUGGGUUACAUGAUUAAGGGAGAAGGGGGGAGAGAAAAGGUCACGGGUUCAAUCUUCUCGGCUAACAAACUAACAUUUAUCAAUAAAAAAAAUCACAAUGAUUUAUAAUUUUUAUUUGUUUUUCACAAUGUCCAAGAAGUAUGAUCUUAAUUUGAAUUUGCAAAAUUGCAAUUAUAUAUUUUUUUAUACAUAUUCAGAUAUAUCUUGUAUGUGUCAUGUGCUAUAUGUUUUUUUGAGAAUAAUUGUAUCGUUGUUGUAUUGUAUCUGAUACACUUAUAGCAUCCAUGCAUCAUAAGUUAUGAUCGGGAUGAAUUAAGUUGUUGCUUGUGUUUGAUACAGUUGAUGGGUUGUUGAAGUGUGAGAAGUGGAUUAGGGGUGAUGAAGAUAAUAGGGAUGCAGUGGAGACCAAGGCAGCGUGGUGGUUGAAGAGAUUGAUAGGGCGAACAAAACGAGUAAAUGUUGACUGGCCAUUUCCAUUUUCUGAGAACAAGCUAUUUAUUCUUACUCUUAGUGCUGGAUUUGAGGGUUUCCAUAUUAAUGUUGAUGGGAGGCAUGUGACCUCUUUUCCUUAUCGCACUGUGGGUAAUCAAUGUUCUUCAACUUAUCAGCUUGAAGAGGGUUCUGCUAUAUAAUAAUGUUAAUGUUUCAAUUUGAACAGGGAUUUACUCUUGAGGAUGCCACUGGUCUUACUUUGAGUGGGGACAUUGAUGUCCAUUCUGUAUUUGCUGCUUCUUUGCCUUCGGUGCAUCCUAAUGUUUCUUCGCAGCAGCAUCUUGAAUUUUCAACCAGAUGGCGUGCGCCAAAUCUUCCUCGCUAUGGUGUGGAAUUGUUUGUAGGGAUCCUUUCAGCUGGAAACCAUUUUGCUGAGCGGAUGGCUGUGAGGAAGUCAUGGAUGCAGCAUAGCUUUAUCAAAUCUUCUAAAGUGGUCACUCGUUUCUUUGUAGCACUGGUAACGCGAACAAGUUUCUCAAUUUUAUUGUUACUUUGUUUGUUGUGUAGGUUUCUUAAUAGUUGAAAGGUUUUAACAGCACCCGAGGAAAGAAAUUAAUGUGGAGUUAAAGAAGGAAGCAGAAUAUUUUGGUGAUAUUGUUAUAGUUCCUUACAUUGAUAACUAUGACCUUGUUGUGUUGAAAACGAUGGCCAUAUGUGAAUAUGGGGUAAGUUGUUGAUUGCUCAAAGAUCUUUCAGUUUGAUAAAGGAAAUAGUUUUAAGUUAAUAUAUGAGAUGUGUUGUGCUGUUCACAGGUUCACACAGUUUCUGCGGAGUAUAUCAUGAAAGGUGAUGAUGACACUUUUGUAAAAAUUGAUGCUGUUAUGAAUCAAGCAAGGAAUGUUCCACGUUCUAUGAGCUUUUAUAUUGGGAACAUUAAUUACCGACACAAACCCUUGCGCUGGGGUAAAUGGGCUGUGACAUAUAAGGUAAUCAGAACCUGUUGGCUGCUGCAAUGCUUUUAUCAUAGUUAAUUAAGCAGUGAGCAUUGUCUGGGAAAAAUAUUUGUGUUGUAAUGUCACUAACAAAGUGUCUAUAUUUGAUCCAAAGAAUGUAUGAUCUGUGCAUGAGCACAGUUUCUUUAGGCACAACUAAGCAAAAGCUCAAUUCAAUAUUAUGAUAUUAAAAUAACUUCAGUACCGACUUGACCUUAACACAUACUUCAUUGUUAUUUUAAUACUUUGCUAGCUUUUGAUUGGUUGUGGUUAUAAGCAUUGCGCGUAUACCAUAAUUAUUCUGUGCAAGAAUUGCUAUUCUUCCCUCUCUGCAACCAGCCAUCAGGUCCCCAUUGUUUAUGGUUAGCACCUAACCUAGUUGCAGGCUUGCAGCACCAUAGUCAGUUGUCCGAAUUUUAUGGGCUGGAGACCACGAUCCCUAACUGAAUUUAACAUUCAGUGAAAUGCUUUAUUAAGUAUUCAGAGCACUUACUUUAAUAGAAUGGGCUGUGAUUGAUUUAACAAAGGCUCUUGCUUCCUUACUGUUGUCACAUCUAACUUCUUGCUGGUGAUAAUUUAUUGUUCUCUUCUGCUUUCAGGAGUGGCCAGAAGAGGAAUACCCACCCUAUGCAAAUGGACCGGGUUAUAUUUUGUCUUCUGAUAUUGCACACUACAUUAUAUCUGAAUUUGAGAUGCAUAAAUUAAGGGUUAGUGUACUACUAUUUCAUUGCUCAUUCUCUCUGUUGUCCUGUAAUGUCUCCCAGUAUCUUGAUGCUGGUGCAUCUGGUGUCCAUAGUGGUUGAAGUUGUCGGCGUUUUCAUCUUUAUGCAGUUGUUUAAGAUGGAAGAUGUGAGUAUGGGAAUGUGGGUAAAGCAAUUUAACAGAUCGAAACCGGUAAACUAUUUGCAUAGCUUCAAGUUCUGCCAAUAUGGUUGUGUAGAAGGCUAUUACACAGCCCAUUACCAAUCGCCUAGGCAGAUGAUAUGCCUGUGGGAUAAAUUGCAGAUGAAGACAACGCCUGAGUGCUGCAACAUGAGAUAACAUUGAGGUAUAGGUUGCCAUUGAAGUAAACAAGUUUUGCAGUCAUAGCUUAGCUUAAAUAUUGUAAAUAUAGUGGAGCUUGGAUAGUUAAAUGUAGCCCUGUAUAAAUGUGGCCCUUUAAAUUUCAUUGUUUAUUUAUUUAUUCAUUUGGAAGGACAAUUCCAUUAUUUAGAUUACUCGAUUUUGUUUCAGCAUGGGAGUGGGAUUGGAAGAUCAACGUGAGGGUGGGCGGGAACUAUGGGUAGGCGUAGGACCAUAGGUAUCGGGAACAUUUUCUUUUUUUGAGGGAGAGCAGGAACAUGUUAAAUAUAGAAGUUCUGUAUUUUUUUUAUAUUUUAUAUCUUAACUCUUUUUGAAAUUUUAUGCUUUAUCUCAUUUUCUAAAAUAUUAGUUUAAUCUGCAGUAAAAAUAAAAAAUAUUACUUUAAUCCUUAUUAUAUCUAUAAAACUGGGUUUUUCAAGUUUAGUGUUACUCGCAAUACCGAGUCCUGCCCCGGGGGUAUUUAUGUAAAACAAUGAAGUCUUGUUAUCUUCAUUAUUUUUAAAAAUAAGCUGUCAAAUAAAAUUAGCAACUAUGUAUUAUAACACAUUAAAAAAAAUUAGAGCCCAAUUAUGCAUGCAAUGAUACAAGUUAAAUGUUUUUUUUUUUGUUUUAAUCAAGACAUUUGAUUCAAGAUAAUUUAGUAAACUAAAGUAGGAAGAAUUAUGUCUGGGUUCACCAAAAACAUCAUAAACACCAGAAUAAAGAGAUUGCUCGUCGAUACAAUUCAGGUCAUUAACUUGUACUGCAUCAUCCACCUGUCCAAAAUUUGAACACAAAAAUAUUAAAAAAUGAAUAAGAACACAAUAGGAUUAUACUCCAACUGUAUCUUUCAUCUCCUUCCAACUGAGUAAAAUUGAUACUCCAAACAUCUCAAAUUAAACAGCAACGUUUAGGGAGUAAGCCAACGAAGUUGAAGAAGAUUCCAUAUACCAACCAAAUAAACUCACGAGAGGAACAAGUUGAUAUACAUAUUUUAUAUGAAGAAGUAGGUAACAAAAACGCGAGAGCAACAAAUCAACAAAGCAGAUCCAUUGGCUGAAGUAAUACAUAUGUAAGGAGAACGAAGUCUCAGAUAAUAUAAUAUAGAAGAUAAUGUAAUUUGAUAAGAUGGAUCAAAACCAAUUACAAGACUAGGAAAAUGCAUCAAAGCUCAUCUUCCAUCCUCAAGUACUCUCCCACAUCGGCCUGGUGCAGAACAACAAUCCCGUUGGGAUCCAGCUUCCUACAAUCCAGCGUGGACUUGGCGGCGACACCGAAACCCAACGGCACGUCGGCCAUGGAGAAGACGACAACCCCGUCACCGGCAGCGAUGUUUUCGGAGAGUUUCCCGAGAGCGCCCUUCAAGACAUGGUUGCCGUACAAGAAGGACAUCUCGGACUGGGGCUUGAGCCAGACCUUGUGCUUGGCGUUGGCGGCGAGCAAGUUGAGGGCCUGGACGGUGAGGUGGAAGCUGCCGCCGUGGGUGUAUUUCCCGAUGCAGGUGCCGAGGGAGACCAGGUUGGGGCGGGCGACGUUGGUGGCGCGCUUCACGAGGGACUCGCUGGCGUAGAAGAUCUUGUUCUUGUGGAGCCGGAAGCAGUAGCGCCCGGGGUUCGAAUCGGGACCUUCGUGCGAGGGGUUCUCCACGAUGUUCUUCAGGUUGUUUCCGACGAACUUGAACAGCUUCUCGAACACUGCGCUCGUCUCCUUCUCGUCCAAGGGUCUCAUCCUUCCUCCUCCUCCUUCUAGGGUUUUACACCGCAAUUAGGGUUUUACAACAGAAAAGGGUGAGUUGAAAACUUUAGAUGAAAAGAGUCGAAAUAAUAGUACUAAGGCCCAAGUCUAAGAAAUACGGGCCUCGUGAGCACAAGCCCACUAUAAAACAAUUCGGCAGGAGCUGGGCACUUGCUAUUUACAUUUCCCCGUUUAUCUAAGUACACCCCCAUGCCUCCUUUCUGCCUCUUAAAUAUCCAUUAUACCCUUUUUCUUAUUUUCUCUUCUUUCACGCAUAUUCUUUUUGGAAACGUUGUCCCGUAGUUCCGGUGACGACGUUCCUUGGAUCUUCUCACUCGCAGGGACAUGUAUGUGAGCAAAUAUAAUUUUCCACGUGCUAGAAACUUGAAACAGGAUUCUGAAUUGAAUUGGAAACUUGAAAGUGUGGCGGCAGGUAUGAGGCAUCACAUGGGCAUUACUGUGGAGUGUGAAGAGAUUCUGCUGAACUGUAAAAUUGACAUUGUUAGGGACAUAUCACACAUAGAACAGCAAUUAAUGUUCAAUUUGAUUUUUUUUCUUUCCGCCAAAUAAAUAUUCUCUUCAGUCUUUUUUCAUUUAAUUUAAAAUAUUUUUUCUACACAGUUAAUGAAAGCAGCAGAUUUCUUCACCCUCAAGAAAAUUACCGUUACUGAGUUACAUUAUCUAAUUUUCUUUCUUAAAUUACAAGUUAAGGCUUAUAUUGGAUUCACUAUUAGAUGUCCUGGAAUGUUGUCGAUAAUAUUCAACAGAAUCCUACUCUCUUUAAAUCCAACUUUAAUAUUUGUAUUUUCUCUGGGCUAAUUAAUUACCACCCUGUUUUGUUUUGUUUUGUAUUAUUAUUAUUAUUAUUAUUAUUAUUAUUAUUACAGUAUAUGCCGCUAAAUCUAAAAUGUAAGGCAUCUUUGUAUUGCCGUUGGAUUUGCGACUCUGUGAAUCCAAUGCUUCUUCACCGCAAAAGUAAUAAAGGGAAUGCUUUUAGAGGGUUAAUUACAGAAAUAGGUCCUUUUCUAAAUUUUUUUUAUCAUCAUGGGAAUUUUUUAAAAAAAAUUACAAAAAUAGAUAAUUUUUUUUAAUAAAAUUACGGAAAUGGGUAAAUGAUAUACGAUUUCAUAAAAUAUGAUUUCACUUUUUAAUCGUUUAAAAUAUCUUUUUCUCUAAGAAACUAGAAUUGUAUGUUAAACUACAAUUUCAAUUUUUUUUUACUGAAAUCGUAUGUUGAAAGACGAUCUCAACUUUUUUAUUUUUUUAUUUUUUCUAAAAAAUUAAAAAAAAGGAUUUCAAAAUUUUUCUACGGAAAUUAUAUCUUGAAAUAUGAUUUCAAUUUUAUUUUAUUUUUUCUAAAAUAAUUAAAGAAAACAAAAACAUGUUGAAAUCAUGCCUUAAUACAUAAUUUCAACUUUUAAUAAUAAAAAAACUGAAAUCAUAUGAAAAUAUACGAUUUUAUUGUAAAUGUUUUCUGUAAAGUAAAAUCGUGUUUUGAAGCAUGUUUUUGUCAAAGCUUAGUUUACUCAUUUUGGUAUUUUUUUUAAAAAAUUAUUCGUUUUUGUAAUUUUUUAAAAAAGAUACACCAUAAUGCUGCAAGAGCCGCUUUUAGAAAUAUAUGUUAGUGUUGCCUAUUCAACAAUUCAAACAUGUGCAUAAUAGAAGCUAUUUAAGUUAAACCCUCCACUAUUACGUGCAUAUUUGAAUAAUUAUUUAAGAAGUACAUAUACGUGUUAUUUUUUUAGGAAAGAUACUCUAUAUUUUUGUGCUGAAAAUAUUUUUAAAAGGGGCAGAAAUCCAUACUAUACUUGAGUGGAUUAACUCGUUUUGUUUUUGAAGUGAAAACUUAUUCGACCGGGGAAAUAGAAUACGAUUCUGACUUGUGAUUUUUUUUUUCUUUUUGUUUUAUUAAUAGAGAUUGAAGAGAGAAAAAAUAAGUUUAUAAUACUCACACAUUAUACUUAAUUAACUAAACUAAAUUUUCUUAGUAAAUUCUUUUCUUUUUAAUAAGGAGUGUUUCUAAUAUUUUAUUUAGGAGUAUUUAUGGGUGGAUUUAUCCAUAACCCAACCUAAUUAUACUAUGAUUUGAAUUUUAAAAAUACUUAAAAUACAUCUAAUUCAACUUAAUAUAAAUCUAAUUAUAUUGGAUUGGAUAAUUAAUCCGGAGUUCAACUUUGACCAGAUCAUAUAAUAAUAAAAAAUUUAAAAAUAUUAAUGUUAUUAAUAAGAAUAUAAUAAAGUAAAAAAUAAAAAGAUUUCUUUAUGCAAUAAAUUUAUAUAUUCUAUGUAAUUAUAUUGUAUAAUUUAAAGAAAAUUAUUUUUAAAAAAUCCUUCUUUGUGAAAUUUUUAGUUUUUAAAUUUUAUGUUCCAAUUGAUCCUACGGAUCAUAAUCGGAUUGGGUUAAAUUGAGUUAAACAACAAAAUUACUAGAAUGUGACUCAAUCCAAUCUGAGAUUUUUUAAUUGAAUUGGAUGAUAGAUUUUUUCAAAUCUAAUUUGACCCACCUAACUUAUCAGACCGGAUGUACAUAUGUGGCGAGAAAGAGGAAACGUAAGUACGAAAAGAAUUACUCCAGAGUCACUAAUUUGAUGACCUCAAGGUUCUUUGCAUCAUUAUAAUAAUAAGUGAAUACUCCGUCACACAUUUUAGACCCAGGUUAAACAAUGAAUGUAAUUUUAUAAUAAUCGCAGUGGAAAAUAGUAAAACUGGAUAAGAAACAAACAUCUAACAUGGAUCUAAUUUGGAAAAACAUUAGUGAGGUAACUUUAUUAACUUGAAAUAUGCUUGUAAUUGUGUUAUGUUUCAACAACUUGAGGAAAAUGACAAGAAACUGCAUCAAACAAUGAGAAAGAGACACAACACACAAGUACUUGGAAAUUUUAAGUAUAGUGAGCAUGAGAAGGACCCCAUUAUGCGUAUGUUGAGAAGCCCGUCAUCUCCAUUGACAGGCAAGUAGCAACUUCAAUAGAGCGUUUAAUUUUCACUAGUCAUGCGCAAAAACACCCUUUCAUAGAUAGGGGGCCACAUUUUUUUUUGUUAUGUAUUUGCUAAGUGAGUAAUGAUAUAUAAACGAUCUUUUACUUUUUGGUUUAGAUUAUAUAUAUUUUUCAUUGGAUAUAAUAUUGUUUGAGUCAAGUAAUACUAUUAUGCAUAAUAAAAAAAUUUCUUCAAAUAUUUAAAACAACUAUACACAAUUGUACAAGAUUCAAAUUACCUUUUAUUUUAAAUGUCCUACUAACACUUCUUAUUUAUUUAUAUCUCUAUCAUUCUAUUACAUCUAAAUCAUAUUAUACCUAUCAUUUUUUUCUCUUUUUUUACUUUCUCUUUUUAAGUGUUAGAUAACACAUUGAAUUUGAUGUGUAUCAAACGUUUUCUUUUGCUCAGUUCCAGUCUUUCGGAGCCUUUUCUUUGCCUUGCAGUGUCCAAUGAGACACAACAUACCGUGAAUCAGCUAAUAAUUUUUAGGCUCUUGGACCACCUUCCACAUAGUCCCACCAAAUCAAAAAACACUUAGUGGAACCAAAUAUUCUAUCUCACUUGUCCUUUUCCCAUUUUAAUAAUACUCCACACCGCCUUCGGUAGUGUCAUUUGACUCAUUUUGGUUAUAAACACUGUCCAUUCUCCUCUUUCUCAAUUCUCAAAUAUCAAUUCUCAUCCCUACCCACUCACUAUCUCACACUGCUUUUUUAGUGUUUUUUUUUCUUCUUUUCCCUUGGUUUUUGAUAACACACUCACCCCACAAAAGAGUUGAUCAAAAUAUACCACCAUGAAGAUGAGUGAGAUGUGGGCAACAAUGGGGUCAACCUUAGCCAGCUUCAUGUUCUUGUGGACGAUCAUGAGGCAGUACUGUCCCUACGGUGUUCAACGUUUCUUCGAGAAGUACACACACAGGAUCAUGAGUUACUUCUACCCCUACAUUAGAAUCUCCUUUCAUGAGUACAUGGGAGACAGGUUGAAGCGAAGUGAGGCCUAUGCAGCUGUGGAGGCAUACCUCAGUGCCAACACAUCAAAGAGUGCCAAAAGGCUCAAAGCUGAAAUGGGAAAAGAUAGCAGCAACUUGGUUUUGACCAUGGAUGAAUACGAAAGAGUAACAGAUGAUUAUGAUGGUGUGAAAGUUUGGUGGGUCUCUAACAAAGUUAUGUCACCAACAAGGUCCCCAAUGUCUUAUUAUCCAGAACAGGAGAAAAGGUUCUACAAGCUCACUUUUCACAGCAAGAAUAGGGACACAAUAACAGAGUCCUAUUUGAAGCAUGUGAUGAGGGAAGGGAAGGAGAUUCGUUUGAGGAACAGGCAGAGGAAGUUGUAUACUAAUAGUCCCGGCUACAAGUGGCCAAGUUACAAGCAAACGAUGUGGAGCCACAUUGUGUUUGAGCACCCUGCAACUUUUGACACAAUGGCCAUGGAGCCUGAGAAGAAAAAAGAGAUCAUUGAGGAUUUGGUCACUUUCAGCAAGAGCAAGGAUUUCUAUGCAAGAAUUGGGAAGGCUUGGAAGAGGGGUUACCUUCUCUACGGCCCUCCAGGGACCGGAAAGUCCACGAUGAUCGCGGCUAUGGCGAAUUUGCUGGCCUAUGAUGUCUAUGACUUGGAGCUGACAGCAGUGAAGGACAACACCGAGCUGAGGAAGCUUCUGAUUGAGACAACAAGUAAGUCCAUAAUUGUAAUUGAGGACAUUGAUUGCUCUCUUGAUCUUACAGGGCAGAGGAAGAAGAAGGGCGAUAAGUCCUCGUGGGACGAGGACGAGGCCGAGAAGGAUGUUAUUGGAAGGAAAGAGGCCAAGGAGGAAGGAGGGAGUAGUGGCUGCAGCAAAGUCACACUCUCAGGGCUUUUGAAUUUCAUUGAUGGGAUUUGGUCUGCUUGUGGAGGGGAGAGGUUGAUUGUGUUCACAACCAAUUAUGUGGAGAAGCUUGAUCCUGCUCUCAUUAGAAGGGGGAGAAUGGACAAGCAUAUUCAGCUCUCUUAUUGCACCUUUGAUGGCUUUAAAGUUCUCGCGAAUAACUACUUGAAGCUUGAGACUCAUCCAUUGUUUGACACCAUUGAGAGCCUUAUUGGGGAGGUUAAGAUCACCCCAGCUGAUGUUGCUGAAAACCUUAUGCCUAAGUCUCCACUGGAUGAUCCUCACAAGUGUCUCUCAAACUUGAUUGAAGCACUUGAGGAAGCUGCAAAAGCAGAGGAGAUGAAGCAGAGGAGUAGUCACAUUAAGGAGGAGCUUCUUCAACAAAAUGGGUCCAUUAAGGAAAAUGGUGAGCUUCAUGGUGACAAAGCAAUGAAUCAGUGCCAGAUCUGGCUCGUUAAUGAUACAUAAUGUUUGUGUACACUAUUAUGAAUCUAUGUUAGUCAACUCCAUGAGAUGAUUAAAAAAGGGAGGGGUUAUCUACUUCAAAACGCUCUCUGGUUUUUGGUUCAGAUUGUAAUUUAGCGUCUGAAAUCUUUGGUACCCAACUAAAUCCUCCUACUUUUGGAAUUAAUUUUGAACUUGUAUUAGAGAGUUGAUGAAAUUUAUUGUUAUUGGGAUAGGUCCCUCCCUAAUUGUUCUUUUUUCCCUUGAAACAAUUUGCUGUUGUGGCUCCAAAAUUGCGACAUAAAUAUAAUAUUAAUGUUUCUGUUGCACGCCGUAUAAACAAAACUUAGUUUCAUCAUGUUUUGUAUGAACAUAACGGAACCUUAUGUUAUGUGGGUUAUUGCUGAAUUUUGUUUCUGUUAGGCUCGGAUGUAAACCUUAGGAACCAUGAUUGAGAGAAAAACAGAGAGAAGAGAGCUCAAGUUAACGUGGAAGAAGGAAUAUUAGUGUCGCUUGUAAACGGAAAAGCACCUUUUUCUUCUUCUUCUUCUAUGCUUAAAGUGAAAAAUAAGGAAAAUGUAAUUUAUAAAAAUUAAAGUUUAAUGUAAAAAUUAAAAAUAAUUAAUAAUUCAAAUUUUCAAAGUAAAUUAUAUCAAAUAAGGUGAAACAAAAAUAAAGAGUACAAUAUAAAAAUAUUCCCACUCUGAAAAAUAAAGAUCUAGGAAUAUAUUCAAAAGACAAGUAUAAGAAUCCUAAAAAUAACUUGUAUGGUCAUUUCACAGUUCUCAUUUCGAUUUUGUUUUUAUCUAGUAUUAGAUUCCCUCGUGAAUUGAAGUGUGUAAAGCGAUUGUUAACCAACAAAUUUCUAAUACAUGUAAUAUUUAUAUAACCAUUCCAACAGUGUCCUAGAAAAAUAGUAUCUUAGGUAAAAACAACACACGCAUUGCCAUUUAAAAGAAAGAAUUUAUAUUAGACUUGGGUACUUACAAUAAUCUGUUAAGAAAAUAUAGCAUCACGUUGUUGUUGAUUGUGUAUUAAAAUUGAAAGCGACCUAUAAGAACAUUUGAAUCUAAUAAAAAUUUAUCAUUAGAAUAAUCAAUUUAAAACAUUGAGUUUAAUUUUGAUAUAUUGUUGUUGUGAUGAUUUUUAUAUUUUUAAUAAAUUAGAAAUUAAUUUAAAUAUAACUUUUAACAUAAUUAGUAUAAAAGUUAAUAAUAUUACCACUAUCAUAAUUUAUGCUUUGAUGAUGUUAUGUUUCAUGUAUAGUUAAUUUUGACUGAACUCUGCAAAUAUUUUGUUGAUCGAGAUUUAAAAUACAUCGAUGGUGACAUUUCACUUUGAUGUGAUUGGGAUGUGGUGAAUACCAUAAAUCCCUGCAAGACACUCUCGAGUACCAGAGUAAUGAUAUCGAGUAAUAGUUAAUCAAAUACUAUUGACAUUAUCUAUAUUUAUAGGAGUAUAAAAUGGAUUAGAUUCCUUGACAUGAGGCAAAGGGCCUCUAAAUGAGUUAUUCUAUCUAAGUGUAGCAACGUGCUAACUUACUCUAAGACAAGGUGUGCAUAGAUGUAUUCGUACCUUUAAAUAAACUGAUUUCUUUCUUUUUCUUCAUUUCUGCAAUCUUCGCGUAGCUUCCAAGUUUCUUGACACCCUUAACAUUUUCUUUACAUUUUUUGGUAACAGGUAUCCUCCACUUUCUUUAUCUCUUUAUUUUCUCACUAUGAUUAACCUAAUAUUAUUAUGUUCUUUAUGAAAUUGACCAGAAUUUGAAAAAAAUAAUCUAAAUUUUCUACUGUAAUGCUAAUCAGCAAUCAGUAUCAAAUUCAAGAAGAAAAAAAAAAAGAGAAACGGGGGCAUGAUAGUCUGAAAGCCACAUACAUCUUUUUUAAAGUUACAGUUAUUGUACACGGAUCGGAUGGGGUAAAUAACGCCGAUCAAUUUUCUCAUUUUUGGGGGACCCUUUGAAUGUAAAAAUACUAAAAAAAUGACUACCUAAUCUACAUAACUGAGUAUCACGCUGCUUCUGGUUGCAAAUCAUGCACCAAGGGCUGCUUAGAUUGUGCCAUAGGAAGAGACCUGAUCGUAACUUCCUCUGGGGGCUUAUAACAAAAUUUAUAGUUCUAUUAUCAUACAUACCCAUUGGCUUCCCUGAUAGGAAACUACAAUCCCUGCUCUCAACCAUAAUGGGAAGCUUCAGUNNNNN
rnacentral:lncRNA from 1 species